AACGAACGCUGGCGGCAGGCUUAACACAUGCAAGUCGAACGCUCCGCAAGGAGAGUGGCAGACGGGUGAGUAACGCGUGGGAAUCUACCCAUCUCUACGGAAUAACUCAGGGAAACUUGUGCUAAUACCGUAUACGCCCUUCGGGGGAAAGAUUUAUCGGAGAUGGAUGAGCCCGCGUUGGAUUAGCUAGUUGGUGGGGU
rnacentral:rRNA from 1 species